AACGAACGCUGGCGGCAGGCUUAACACAUGCAAGUCGAACGCAUCCUUCGGGGUGAGUGGCAGACGGGUGAGUAACGCGUGGGAACGUGCCCUUCAGUUCGGGUUAACCCAGGGAAACUUGGGCUAAUACCGGAUACGUGCGAGAGCAGAAAGAUUUAUCGCUGAAGGAUAGGCCCGCGUCUGAUUAGCUAGGUGGUGGGGUAAUGGCCCACCAAGGCGACGAUAAGUAGCUGGUCUGAGAGGAUGAUCCGCGACAUUGGGACUGAGACACGGAACAAACGCGUUGGGGAGGGAGCAGGGGAGAGAAUUGGGGAAUGGGCGCAAGCCUGAUCCAGCCAUGCCGCGUGAGUGAUGAAUGCGUUAGAGUUGUAAAGCACUUUCGUCCGCGACGAUAAUGACGGUACCGGAAGAAGAAGACCCGGCUAACUUCGUGCCAGCCGCCGCGGUAA
rnacentral:rRNA from 1 species